ACCACAACUGAAUAGCCUGGCACUUACUUUAACAGUCAUUUCCAACCACAGAUUAAUACUGUUACUGGAUUUGACUAACGGCUCUCAAUCAGCCCAACUGUCAUCACUUGAGAACAUGCUAGCCAGUGAAAGCCAAAAAGGAAAAUAUAAGCAAAUUCAAAUUAUGGUAUAAUUUUUCUGAUUGCUCAUCUUUUGAAUCCAAGGGUAUCUAUCUCUCUAAAUAUCUUCUUCUGGGUUCUCCUUAAUAAUAUGUUUAAUGUAUAUAUAGAUCAGGAGAUAAUACACCACCUGGCUGCAACUAGUGGGGAGGCUGAAGUCAGGAGGGAAGGGUUGCCACAGGCACUGGCUAGCACAAGAGAGCACGCCGCUCAGCUGCCCAUGGAACGUAUAUGUAUCCUGCACCUUGCUCUGCCCACCUUUGGCAACGGCACUGGAAACAGCUGGUGUUAAGUGUGCUAAGUAGCCAGCAUCAAAGUGCAAAUGGAAGGGGGCCCUCAUGGAGGUUCUGUGUUGAUAACAGUGAUGUUCAAUGCUAGCCUAUCAUAAACAGGAACCAGGUUUUUCUCUUUAUCAUUUACUUUGACAUAGUAGACUUCAGGUCCAGUGCAGCUGAUAGGAUUUUUCAAUAGAUACAAAAGAAGGAUGGUAUAGCACAUUAUACGGUAUAUGACUGGCUUAAUGAAAAUAAGAGUCUAUCCCAACUUGGAGCUUCCCGUAUCAACAAAAACUCCAUUUUCUAUGACUGAAGGCUUUGACAACUCUUACUAAUCCCAGCUUUUGGUCCUGACAGAAUCUAACCUACAGAUACAGGGAAAAGAAUUUGGAUGACUAUUACUUUCUGACUGACGACUUCUGGGUCUACUCUGGGUAUUUCACACACAUUUAAUCCCAAUCUUCCUCCUUAAAAAUGUAUUGAAUGACAUUCAUUUAAUACACCCCUGGAGGGAAAAUAAAGUAGAAAAAUCUUUCUGGAGGGCAAUUUGGCUCCACGUAUCAAAGGGCUCAGGGUUUUGAAUAUGCUUUGUAUCACUAUUCCACUUCCGGGAGUUAGUCCUAAAGGAAUAAUCAUGAGAAUGAAAAAAACUUUACUUACACCAAUGUGCAUCACAGCUUUCCUUAAAGUCUUGCAAAUUUCAUUCACUCAACCAAUAUUUACUACAUGCCUACUAUGUACCAGGGAAUAUUUAAAUACAAAUAAAUAAGAUCCAGAUAUAUUUUUAUAUAAGAAAAGCAGAUUACAAAAAAGCAUGAUCUAAUUUUACAAGAAAAUUAAAAUGUUAUAAUGCAUAGGAAAAACAGUUGAAAGAUAACUAUUAAACCAUUAGUAAUGGUCAUCUCUUGGUCACUGGUUUAUGGUUUAUUUUUCUUUCCUCUUUCUUUUCCUAUUUUUAUUUUUAAAGUAAGUAUCUUGUAAAGAGCCAUUUUGACACUACGUAAAUCUCUUGAUGAAAUUUCCACUCAGUAGUUUUAGCAUCAUCCAUUGAUGAUUUUCUAACUCCAUCAUUCACUCUGUUAUUAUUGAUUGUCAGUCUACUGUAAGACAAAGCUCUCUUUUCUCCCACUUUAUUUAUAUCAGCAUGGACUCAUGGAUUUUAAUUUUAUUCAGGAGGUUAUAAUCCUUUACUAUAAUUAUGUAUUUUGAUGCCCAAAUUGUUUUAUAUUUGUCCAGUGGCUCCUUCAAGCUAAAUUCUGUGCCUUUCUGGUAUGUUCCCAUAUUUUUUGAGCAUUUUCUUACUUUCUGGUAUAACAAGAUACUAUAGACUUAUACUCUUUACUCGUAUUUUAAAAGCUCUACAACAACCAUGUAUAUUUUUGUUAAAUGAAAGAACAUAAUACAUACUAUUUAAAAAAUAAUCUUACAUAAGAUGCAUACAUUAUACAGAUUUUUAUAAGAUUUUUAAAAAACAGUCCAGAUUGCUGAUCCUACAUGGUUCAGGAAUAUUAGAACAAAUGGGCCUUCUGAGCUCCACCUGAGAUGGGAGAGGAUAGCACCUGUCUUACAAACCAAUAUGAAAGGAAAUUAUGUCUAGUGAGAUCAUUAAAUGCAUAAGUCAUUGCUCUUUACUUGACUAAAACCAGUGAGCCGGCCACACAGCCUUAGAUAAGAAAGGUAACAGUUAAAGUACAUUCUGUUCGAUUAAUUAAUGUCUCACAGCCAAAUGUCUCUGUCUUGCCCCUUAGAAAACUGCAUAGAAGAAUGGUGAGACACCAUCAUUUUCAUCUGAGUGACUGAGUUUCUUCCUGCUGACUGUUUGGAGUUCCCCUGUGAGCUGGCGUAAGCUUUAGGAAAGAUGAUGAAAGAAAAGAAAUGGGCCCAGAGGGACCUAAGGAAACCAGGCCAAACUUGCUGUUCACGUGGACCCUUACAGGGAGAAUGGAAGGCAAAAGCAGAGAACUGGGUCCAAUUUUCUUUCUCAGUGCUAUCUGUGCAGUGGUCAGAUGUGGCACUCACAACCAAAAGGCUUUUGAAACAGCACUGGUUUGGCUACAGACCUUGAUGUGUGUAUAAUGAAACUUGAAAGGUCUCAGAGGAAGGAACAGUGGUGUAGUGGACGCAGGGGACAGCUGUUCCCUGUUGGGAGACAAUUCUGCAUGGGCCCUUUGUAUUUCUGCACAUCUUGCAAGUAGAGACACUAACUGCAUUUGUGCUGGAUUAGAUUUUCAAGUAAACUGCUUUGGAAGAUGAUAGUGUCUCCCUCUAUAGCAUGAGCAGGUUUGUUUGCUCUUAAACAUGAUAAUAGCUUCUGCUGGGGCAAAGGUAAGGCCGACUUAACUGACCAUUAUAAAAGAUUCAUGUUGGGGAUUCGUUUUUGUAACACAACCCGUGUGUGUGUGUGGGUAUGUGUGUGUGUAAGUGUGUUCGUGCGUGCUUGCAGGUGUCAUCUGCCCCCCUUCUUAUUUUCCUAUGGGAAUUGGGAAUCUGGUGCAAAUGCUGAUACUGUAGCUACUGCUAUUGCUGUGAGUAAUAAACUAGGCUUUGUCUCUAACCCAAGAGUCUUGUGUCUUUUGCCAGCAUUCAUGAAACUGUGGUAGACUAAUUUGUUAACCUGCAAAUAGGGGAAAAAUCUCACAUCCUUCGCAGGUCUUGACAUGAGUCAAGUGACAAACCAAAAAAUGGGGACUUUUUAGUUGAGAAAGACAAAGACCAAAGGGGUAGAGGAUAAGGCUGAAGUAUAUAAAAUCAACAAAAGUAAACUUGGUUGUAUUCACCAGUCUUGAAUAUCAAGUGAAGGGAUGAAUCCCUGAUGUUUGAGAGAGGUAAGUUUAUGUCAAUAGAAAGGAAUUUCUUCACAUACAGGAUACUAACCUUAUAGAACUUACCAUCUCAAUAAAUGGUGCUGGCUGAAACUACAAAUUAUUUUAUAAAAGGCCUCACUAAAGUGAUGGAUGACAAACCUAGAAUGCCCAGUUCAAUACGUAUUGGAUGACCGAGUGUUUGCCAAGUGACCAUCUAUAAGAUGAUCUCAUUAUCUGUGUCAGAGAAGAACUACUGGGAAAAAUCAUUAAUUUGACCUAACAAGGACCAUUUUUAAUCUACAAAGUGAGAAAUAGACUCUUCACUGCUUUAUCUAGUUUUAGUUUUUACUAUGGAUACACAUACAUAAACAUAUACAUUUGGGAUAUGUAAGUAUAAAAAUCUCCUUUACAACAAGCUACAAUUCAUAAUCAUCUUAAUUCAUAAAUGUUAAAUAAUAAUGGUAAAAUAUGCUCCUAUUUUAGGGCAGUUGUUUCCCAAGCUGGAUGUGAAGAACACUUCCAGGAAAUUUUAAGAGGCAUAUCUUGAAAAAAAAAAGUCUCACGGUCAAAUAUAUUUGAGGAGCUAUGCACUAUAUGUAUAUAUCUUUGGAAAUUCAAAAUUUACAUUAAUAAUGAGGGCUGUGAUAAGCCCUGAGUCACAGAAACCUUUAAGCUCGUGUUUCCCAAAUUUUUAGUAUUGACCGAUCAUUUCACAGCAUGCCCAUUAUUAUCUCAUGAAACACUAUUCCAUGAAACAGCAGAUUGAGAAAUGCGUUUGUCAAUUGUUAAAAAAUGAAGAUUUUUAUGGCAAGGACUGCUAUAAUGCCAACAUUAUCUAUAAAGCCUCACUAAUUUGAAGUUAAAAACACCAGUGAAGUGGGGACAGAAGGGCCUAACAGGUGACUGGAUGUCCUGGUUUGCUUCUCUCAUACAGGUGGUUGGGCCAUCUUCACCUGGGGGGAUCCUUGGGAUUAAUUGUUUCUUGUGUCCAAGGAGCCCGAAUGCCCCAAUUUCAUGAAUAUUUUCAUGUUUAAGGCAAGGAUAACAAUCAUAGUUAUAGCUAACAUUUAUUGCUUCCAAUUGAUGUGCUACAAUGCCAUUUUGAGCACUUUAUAUUCUAAAAUUCUCACAAUAAACCAUGAGAGAGGUAGUUUUAUUAUCCAUGUUCACAGAAAAGGAAACUGAGGCACGGGUGGUUCUGUCACUUGGCCAAGGCUAUACAGCUAGUAAGUGGAAGAGCUAGGAUUUAAACCCAGACAGUCUGGCUCCAACAUCAACUCCUGUGCUUAACUACCUUUGGAAUUACAGCAUAUGUCAGCAAACUUCCACAUUACCAGUGUAAUUCAUACCACAAAGCAAUUCACUUUACCUUCUAGUUGGGUUGAGCCUAGGUAAGUAGCCUUCAGAGCUUAGGAACCAUAAAUAACAACCAGACCUUGUGCUAACACAUCUUGAAAAGCUUGUCUAAGCUUUACAAUUGUACCAGAAGAAGUAAAAUACAAAUAGGACAGCAUGUACCAUUGCCAAAACAAUCUCCCCUUUGUAUAGUUUUUUCUUCUCACCAAUUUGUUACUAUAUGCAAUACUGACUUUAAGUAAACAAACAAGAAGCUACAAACAAUACACCCACCCUCUUUUAAUUACAGCACUACAACAAGGCCACUUUGUUAAAAUGGUUCAUCUCUAAAAUAUUUUUCUUACCAAAAAUGAUACACAGAUACAUACACACUCAUGUUUCCCCCUAAAACCCCAAUCCUUUUUGUAUGUUGUGAGUGGAGUGCAGAGAAUAAAGCUCCUACUGAGUGCUUUUGGCCUUCAGAUUUGGUGCUCAUUACUGUGUAGACAUUCUCAGCCAGAGCGCGACAACAGGCAUUCAGAACUGUGUUUUCUGCAAUGUUUAUUGUUUAUUCCACGAUCUUUUGUUGUUUUUUUUUGUUGUUGCUGUUAUUUUACAUGUUGGCAUAUUAAUUUCUAUUGCUGUUGUAACAAAUUACCACCAAUUUAGUGGCUUAAAAAAACAACACUCAUGUAUCAUCUCACAGCUCUGUAGGUCAAAAGUCCAAGUAUGGCAUGGCUCAGCUGGUUCUCUGUUAGAGUUGUACAAAGCUGACAUCAAGGUGUCGGCAGAGCUGUGUUCCAUUCUGGAAGUUCUGGGGCUAAAUCUGCUUCCAAUCUCAUACGUGAUUGUUGGCUGAAUUCAGUCUGAUGUGGUUGUAAGACUGAGGUCCCUGUCUCCUUGCCAGUUGACAGCUGGGGGCUGCCCAUUGUUCCUAGAGGUCUCUCUCUGGUUCCUAAUGUGGCUGCUACGUCUCAGAGCCAGCAAAGCAUGUUUGAUCCUUCUCAUACUUGGAGUCUCUCUCUCACAUCUCUUUUGCUUCUAGCCUGAGAAAAUUCUCUCUCUUUUUUUUUUUUUAGACGGAGUCUCGCUCUGUUGCCAGGCUGGAGUGCAAUGGUGC
rnacentral:lncRNA from 1 species